AUACGUAGGGUGCGAGCGUUAAUCGGAAUUACUGGGCGUAAAGCGUGCGCAGGUGGUUUUGUAAGUCAGAUGUGAAAUCCCCGGGCUUAACCUGGGAACUGCGUUUGAAACUGCAAGGCUAGAGUGUGGCAGAGGGGGGUGGAAUUCCGCGUGUAGCAGCGAAAUGCGUAGAGAUGUGGAGGAACACCGAUGGCGAAGGCAGCCCCCUGGGACGAGACUGACGCUCAUGCACGAAAGCGUGGGGAGCAAACAGGAUUAGAAACCCCAGUAGUCC
rnacentral:rRNA from 1 species